AUGAUGCGGCCACGGCCGGCAUCGACGAUGUCCGAUGUGCCGGGUUAUUGCGCACACAUAGUGCUCAACAUCCGGACUGCAAAUUUUUCCAAGGUGGGAAUCGCCACUGUCAACGAGGCCGUGAAUUGCACGGUGUCGGAACCGUACGCAGCAUCGGCAUGUUCAAGCAUGCCAUGUCAAGCAAUGCUCGGCGCACUGACCUUUGCCGUAUCUAUGGAAUACCCAUCAUGUCAAACAACAUCACCGAUUUUUGGCAUCAAUCAAUGGGAACACGAAUAUGGCGAGGAGAACGAUAAGGGCAAUGUGGUGAAUGACAAGGCCAUGAAGAAUGAUGAGGUGGAUAGCGAUGAUGAAACCAUCGAUUUAGAGUUUGAAGCAUUGCAAACUGCCAGAGCAAGUGAAGUGCAUGUGGAACGGUUUUAUGCCCCAGAUUCAAUGCCGGACUCGGUACCCCCAAGAAUGGAAUUAUAUAGGGAUUUUGUACUAAAGUCCUUGAUGACAUCGUAUGAUUCAAAGAUGAUAAAGAAAUGA
rnacentral:rRNA from 1 species